rnacentral:rRNA from 1 species
UACGUAGGGUGCAAGCGUUUGUCCGGAAUUAUUGGGCGUAAAGAGCUUGUAGGCGGUUUGUCGCGUCUGCUGUGAAAUUUCGGGGCUCAACCCCGAACUUGCAGUGGGUACGGGCAGACUAGAGUGUGGUAGGGGAGACUGGAAUUCCUGGUGUAGCGGUGAAAUGCGCAGAUAUCAGGAGGAACACCGAUGGCGAAGGCAGGUCUCUGGGCCAUAACUGACGCUGAGGAGCGAAAGCGUGGGGAGCGAACAGG